CGGGUAGCGGAACACGUACGCAACCUUCCUUUAACUGGAGAAUAGCCCCUCGAAAGAGGGAUUAAUACUCCGUAACAUAUUGAUAAGGCAUCUUAUUAAUAUUAUAGCUCCGGUGGUUAAAGAUGGGCGUGCGCCUGAUUAGAUAGUUGGCGGGGUAACGGCCCACCAAGUCAGCGAUCAGUAACUGGUGUGAGAGCACGACCAGUCACACGGGCACUGAGACACGGGCCCG
rnacentral:rRNA from 1 species